rnacentral:piRNA from 1 species
UGUCCAAGGAGCUAUAACGGUUGAUGA